CCCAAAGGGCAACGCGGCCACAGAUACGCUUGACAAAGUGGGAGUGAUGAGCCGGGAGACGGACCAGUGCUGCAAGGUCUUCCGGGAUUCGUAGUUCCGGCCGGGAGCCUGGCGAGAAUUAGGCGAUACGCAACAACUCUUUGUUCCCACACAGGUUUAGCCAAACACCACAGCUCGAAAGCCCGGAACGUUGAGGUUUCCAAAGCUGGAGUCUCAUGGUCUCAACGGUCUCCAGGGGACAACCCAGACAUUGAUUUCGUAGCUCUUAAUAAAAAAUAUCUCCUGGAGCAUCAGUUCUAGUUAAGGUAGAAAACACCACCACCUUGCUAAAUCUUGUUGUGCUGGGGAUCAAAGCAAGACAAGAGAACUGUUUAGUGAACCGUGAAAUCCCAGAACAGAUGCCAGAUGGAUGUUGCUAUUGCUCGAGAGUCCAUUAAUUUGCUAAGAAAGUUGAGUGCUGUGCUCUUCACCUGUGUCUGCCACCUAUUUAUAUAAUAGUGACUUCACUCUGUGGUGCUCCAUCACCUCUCCUGGAAAACGACAGAUUGCCCUUUGAUACCUACUAAGAGGGCAUGUGGACCAAUGGAACUCGGAUCCUAGAGUUUAUGGAUCUUACCCCUCAAAGUCCCAAUUCGUCUGCCCACAGCGUGGAGGAAAAGCUUAUUUUCAGUAGUUUGGUGUAUGUGUUGAAUUGCUUCCCGGUUUUCAGUUCUCAGAGAGUAAAAAGAAAGGAGACCCACUCCUGACCCAAAUAAAACAUCACAAAAUAAAAGGUCAUGUGACCGUUGAGGAAGUUCAAGAGCAGGGGAAAAUUUGAGAGGCCUCGGUGGCUGCAACCUGUCUCCACAGUAAACAAGAAGGCAUCUAAAUAACCACCCACAGUAUGGAGUUCCUGUGGACUGGGGGGAAAGCCUUCCUUUAUCCCAGUAUUUCAGUUCUUACAGUCAGAAGACUCUCCUGUGUAUCCACUCCAAAUUCUCUGCGAGUUCAGAUUUGUUCUGCCUACAGGAGAAAGAUAAAUGGAAGGAACUGCUAGCUAUGUUAUGUUCUGUUGACCUGAGGGGCUUGCUACCCUUUUCCUUCCACAUGGAUGGAAAGUGCAGUGCUGCAAGUUUGGGCAUCAGGGUGGUGAGGAUGCAGGGUUGGCUCUCUGCUGCAGACAGAACCAUCUAUAUUUGCUCUCGAUGGGGACCCGCACAGACUAAAUCAGAGAGAAGGAGCAGUGCCAUUCAUCAUGAAGGUGAAUUAUCCUAAUUGAGUGGUCAAGAAGAUGAGUGCUUUCUAGGUAGUUUACGAUCUUGACAGUGUCUGGAACGAUGGGCACCCCCAACACUCCUCCUGCUGCUGCCCCUGGAUAGCAAGGGCCCUGCACAGGCAUAAGAAGAGACAGCGGGAAUGAACAGAGAGAAGGCCCAUCUCUGCCUGAAUUUGGAAAGGACCACCCAGCCCUUCCUGAAAGCAGGGGACGUCAGGGAGCUCGGGAAAUGCAUGCUCACCUCUUGUCCUGACCCCUUCCAAACCCGGAUGUCAGGACGUCACCCUAAGGGGAAUGAAGCUGGACACUUCUGUGUCUGGUUUGGGCGUAACGAGGAGCUGACAGACACUGACAGAGAGGCCAGCCCCGGAAGACGAUGAAACAGACACGAAAGGUAAAAUCACCGCAGUGGGACAGCUAUGAAUGGAGGCUGACGCAGGUGGGCAUGUUUGGAGACUCAGUUGCCACAAGCAGCAUGGCCGUCAGUGAUAUGACUUUGCAAAACGCUGGACAACUCCUGGGAAAGCACGGAGCACAGGGAAGUCCAAUCCUUCUGUAAUUUGCCUAGCAGCCCCAUUCUUAGUGUAUACCGAGCAUAUAUGAAAAACCAUUUUAAAAAGUCCUUCCGUUCACAUGUAAAACAUCACAUUUUAAA